rnacentral:rRNA from 1 species
UUCGUAGGCGGCAUGAAAAGCAGGGUGUGAAAGCCCUCGGCUCAACCGAGGAAUUGCGCUCUGAACUGUCGUGCUCGAGGAAUCUAGAGGUGAGCGGAACUGAUGGUGGAGCGGUGAAAUGCGUUGAUAUCAUCAGGAACACCGGAGGCGAAGGCGGCUCACUGGGGAUUUUCUGACGCUGAGGAACGAAAGCCAGGGGAGCGAACG